AGAAGGGAACGGCUUCGGUCGGACCCGGAGAGUGGCGAACGGGCGAGUAACAUGUGAGUGACCUGCCCCGAGCAGGGGGAUAACCAUGGGAAACGAUGGCUAAUACCCCGUAGUCCUGGCCGUAUUGGAAACGGUUAGGUAUAGCUCCGGCGGCUCGGGAGGGGCUCGCAGUUGAUUAGCUUGUUGGUAGGGUAACGGCCUACCAAGGCGACGAUCAAUAGCUGGUCUGAGAGGACGAUCAGCCACACUGGGACUGAGACACGGCCCAGACUCCUACGGGGGGCAGCAGCAAGGAAUAUUGGACAAUGGGCGCAAGCCUGAUCCAGCAACGCCGCGUGGAGGAUGACAGCCCUUGGGUUGUAAACUCCUUUUGUGCGGGAUGAGACAAGGACAGUACCGUACGAAUAAGUCACGGCUAACUAGGUGCCAGCAGCCGCGGUAACACCUAGGUGACAAGCGUUAUCCGGAUUUACUGGGCGUAAAGGGCUCGAAGGCGGCCGUUCAAGUCUGACGUGAAAUCUCCCGGCUUAACUGGGAGGGGUCGUUGGAUACUGUAUGGCUAGAGGCAGUGAGAGGAGUGUGGAAUUCUCGGUGGAGUGGUGGAAUACGUAGAUAUCGAGAGGAACACCAGUGGCGAAAGCGGCACUCUGGCACUGACCUGACGUUCAUGAGCGAAAGCGUGGGGAGCGAACGGGAUUAGAUACCCCGGUAGUCCACGCUGUAAACGAUGAGUACUAGGUGUGGGUGGCGUACAGCUAUCCGUGCCGAAGUUAACGCGAUAAGUACUCCGCCUGGGGACUACGGCCGCAAGGCUAAAACUCAAAGGAAUUGACGGGGACCCGCACAAGCAGCGGAGCGUGUGGUUUAAUUCGAUGUAACGCGAAGAACCUUACCU
rnacentral:rRNA from 1 species